rnacentral:rRNA from 1 species
AACGAACGCUGGCGGCAGGCUUAACACAUGCAAGUCGAGCGCCCCGCAAGGGGAGCGGCAGACGGGUGAGUAACGCGUGGGAAUCUACCCAUCUCUACGGAAUAACGCAUGGAAACGUGUGCUAAUACCGUAUACGUCCUUCGGGAGAAAGAUUUAUCGGAGAUGGAUGAGCCCGCGUUGGAUUAGCUAGUUGGUGGGGUAAAGGCCUACCAAGGCGACGAUCCAUAGCUGGUCUGAGAGGAUGAUCAGCCACACUGGGACUGAGACACGGCCCAGACUCCUACGGGAGGCAGCAGUGGGGAAUAUUGGACAAUGGGCGCAAGCCUGAUCCAGCCAUGCCGCGUGAGUGAUGAAGGCCCUAGGGUUGUAAAGCUCUUUCACCGGUGCAGAUAAUGGCGGUAACCGGAGAAGAAGCCCCGGCUAACUUCGUGCCAGCCGCCGCGGUAAUAC